CAGGGCUGUGCUGGGAAUACAGCGCGAUCGCACAUGUAGCGACGUAGUUGAUGAAGAUGUUUCUCUCUGGCUUCGGGUGUCAGAGUGUGACGUCCACCGUGAUAGCCAGCAUCGUGAUGUCUUAUCCUAGCCCAUCGCUCUCUCUACUGACCGAUAUUUUUGUCUGUUUGUGAUUGAGGGGGAUAUAUAUGUGUUGUUUGUAUCGCGUAGACUCGCGUUCAGAACUAUAUAAGCACAGUAUGUUAAGGCAAAAGUUGAGUUCUGGAUUUCAUCUUAUUUCUUUCAGUUGAUGCAACGCUCUGGUACGGUACAGGUGUAAGUGCCCCAGACUGUCUACCUGUACCCGGAGCAUUGUAGAGA